UUUCACAGCCACAUCACCCUGCAGCCCAAGACUGGUCCCUCACUGAAGCUAAGCAGGCCUGUGCUUGGUCAGUACCUGGAUGGGAGACUACUUGGGAACACAAGGUUGCUGUUGGAA
ensembl:rRNA 5S_rRNA 5S ribosomal RNA